UACAGAGACCUCAAGCGUUAUCCGGAUUUAUUGGGCGUAAAGCGUCCGCAGGUGGUUCGGCGGGUUAGAGGUCAAAACUUAACGCUUAACGUUAAGAUCGCCUUUAAAACUACCAAACUAGAGUAUGGAAGAGGUGAGCGGAAUUCUCGGUGUAGUCGUAAUAAGCGUUGAUAUCGAGAAGAACACCAAAUGCGAAGGCAGCUCACUGGUACAUUACUGACACUCAUGGACGAAAGCGUGGGGAGCAAACAGG
rnacentral:rRNA from 1 species